rnacentral:rRNA from 1 species
AUUGACGGGGACCCGCACAAGCGGUGGAGCAUGUGGUUUAAUUCGAAGCAACGCGAAGAACCUUACCAACUCUUGACAUCCCAUUGACCGCUUGAGAGAUCAAGUUUUCCCUUCGGGGACAAUGGUGACAGGUGGUGCAUGGUUGUCGUCAGCUCGUGUCGUGAGAUGUUGGGUUAAGUCCCGCGACGAGCGCAACCCCUAUCCUUAGUUGCCAGCAUUCAGUUGGGCACUCUAGGGAGACUGCCGGUGACAAACCGGAGGAAGGUGGGGAUGACGUCAAAUCAUCAUGCCCCUUAUGAGUUGGGCUACACACGUGCUACAAUGGACGGUACAAAGGGCAGCGAGACCGCGAGGUGGAGCCAAUCCCAUAAAGCCGUUCCCAGUUCGGAUUGCAGGCUGCAACUCGCCUGCAUGAAGUCGGAAUCGCUAGUAAUCGCAGGUCAGCAUACUGCGGUGAAUACGUUCCCGGGUCUUGUACACACCGCCCGUCACACCACGAGAGUUUGCAACACCCGAAGCCGGUGAGUAACCAACAAGGAGCCAGCCGUCGAAGU